GGUCAGUAGGUUGGUCGUGCCACCGGUACGUACUGGUCUCACUGAUUCCUCCUUCCUGAAGAACCGUAAUGCCAUUAAUUUGGUGUUGCGGGGAAACAGGACUGUUACUUUGAAAAAAUUAGAGUGUUUAAAGCAAGCUAACGCUUGAAUACAUUAGCAUGGAAUAAUGAAAUAGGACGAUCGAUCCUAUUUUGCUGGUUUCUAGGAUUGACGUA
rnacentral:rRNA from 1 species